AGCAGAAUUCACCAAGUG
rnacentral:snRNA from 1 species